rnacentral:lncRNA from 1 species
UUCUUUUCCUUGUUUCUUUCCUUAUCUAUUUCCCUUUAUGGGUUGGAUAAUUAGCUACAUUGCAGAUACACAAUGUGUAUACAUAAAAUCACCAAGAAUGGAAAUGCAAUGGGCUAUACUUAUCUAGCUGAAGAUUGGACUUUUCCAAUGUCAUAUCCUCCUCACCAGUCACAAAACUGCUGUACUUUAAUAACUAUUUGGUUUAUGAAGGGAUGUGUUUUGAGAGCAUUUUCCCAAUUUUCAGUGAAUUAAUAGGCCCAGGUGGUCUGGUGCUCUGUUGGAUGGAUGUUUCUAUUUUGGUGGAAAGUUAUUUUUUCAUAAAUUCACUCUCAUGCACAUAUAAAUGUGAAUAAUAAGCCUUGUUAUUCCUAUGACAAUAGAGCAGCGGACCCCUGCUGGGGGUGGGGAGGGUAAACAAAGCAUAAGUUAGGCGCCAUCUUGGAUUUGUGUUUUUUUCCUCCUAGGUAAAAAGAUUGACUUCAAAUUUUUCCCAUUCUAAUGAAUAUAGCCUUAACUCUCAGAGGAUAGGAGGGAGCAAAUAUCUUUCUGCCAUUAAUGUGAAGAAAGGGGCCGGGCGCGGCGGCUCACGCCUGUAAUCCCAGCACUUUGGGAGGCCGAGGUCAGGAGCUGAAGAGCAACCCCGCCAACGUGGCGAAACCCUGUCUCUGCAAAAAUACAAAAAUUAACCGGGCAUGAUGGCGGGUGCCUGUAAUCCCAGCUACUCAGGAGGCUGAGGCAAGAGACUUGCUGGAACCCGGGAACGGAGGUUGCAGUGAGCCGAGAUCAUGCCAUUGCAUUCCAGCCUGGGUGAAAGAGGAGACUACGUCUCAAAGAAAAAAAAAUGAAGAAAAGGUGUACACACCGAGACUGCACAACUUAAACCUCGAAACUGGAUUGGAUACCGACUUCCUCCUUUUAUAUCUCACAUUGAUUUUCACAGGUAAUUUCUUUUUAUCAUAGCGAUUGUUGAAGACCCAACUUUGCAAAGAUACAACGUCACCUAAGGAAUACAGUACAAUUAAAUGUUAAGACUCUGAAUUCCUCAAUCUAGCAGUUUGUACAAAGUUCAACAGAUAUGAAGUAUUGCUUUGCUUUUCUAAAAAUUUUUAAAUAUUCCACAGGGCUUUUAUGAGUUUGCUACUACACGAUGGGGUGUGUAAAGGCAAAUGCAAAUUAAAAAUAAAAGGUUUAAUUCUUCCUGUUGAAAAUAAGCCUGCUUCAUCCAAUCAGCUGAAUGCUAUAAGAACAAAGAGUGAAGUUUCCUGCAGAAAAAGAAAUUUUGCUUCAAGACUGCCACAAAGAAACCCUGCUAGAAUUUCUCGCCUGCUGGUCUGGCCUACAGAUUUUGGAUUUGCCAGACCAUCACAAGCACCACUGAAACUUUAUUUAUAACACCAAGAACAAUGUCAAAGAAGCAUUGUCCUUUGUUUUCUUCUUGGAUUUCAGGU